ensembl:lncRNA ALOX12P2 arachidonate 12-lipoxygenase pseudogene 2
GGAGAUGCUCCCGACUUCACCUGGAGCUGAGUCAAGUUAGAGAACCGGACCAAGCGAAAUACAGGGGCAGAGGAGGCAGCAGGGAGGCCCUGGGAGCUCUUUGAAUCCCCAGGUAGCCUAUUCCUGCCUGGCACCACUGGGAUUCAUCAGGAGGGAGGCCAGAGGAGCAGGAGGUGGGAGGCGGAAAGCCUCGGGCAAGUUUUCAAGCCCGUCCUCUGUCUGGAAACAGACUCAGAGGUGUUGCAGGGGACACGGUGGGAGUGAGACCAGCCCUUCGGUGUGCGUGGGAUCUGGGGGAGGCCUGUGACUGCCGGCUUUCCCCUGCUUCUCUGACAACCUGCAUGACUCAGCAGAGGCAGCCAUAAUCCUGGAGAGCCCCGGUUUAAGAUCUCCAGGUGAAGUAGAUUUUUAUUUCAGAACCUUCAGGAAGGGGAGAGUGGCUCAUGGGCUGAGUGGAUAAACCACAAAAUGGGUAAUAUACUAUAGGAGGCAGAGUUUGAGAUCGACGUCCCCCUGCACCUGGGGCGCCUCCUGAUGGUGAAGCUGCGCAAACACAACGUGCUGUUGAGUCUCGACUGGUUCUGCAAGUGGAUCUCAGUGCAGGGCCCGGGGACCCAAGGCGAGGCCUUUUUCCCCUGCUACCGCUGGGUGCAGGGCCACGGAAUUAUCUGCCUGCCUGAGGGUACUGGUGGGGCUCCUGGAAAGAUGGGUUAAUCCUGCCUAUAGCAGGGAAUAGGCAACCGGACCUUCCUAGGGACGAGCGAUUCCUCGAGGAUAAGGAUUUAGACUUUAAUGUCUCCCUAGCAAAAGGGUUGAAGGACUUGGCCAUUAAGGGGACACUGGAUUUCAUAAAUUGUGUGAAAAGGCUGGAAGAUUUCAAAAAAAUAUUCCCACAUGGAAAGACUGUCCUGGCUGAGCGGGUUUAUGAUUCUUGGAAGAAUGAUGCCUUCUUUGGGUACCAGUUUCUCAAUGGUGCAAACCCCAUGCUCCUGAGGUGUUCUUCAAGGCUCCCAGCCUGCCUGGUGCUGCCUCCAGGGAUGGAAGACUUGAAGACCCAGCUGGAGAAAGAACUCCAGGCUGGAUCUCUGUUUGAAGUGGAUUUCUCCUUGCUGGAUGGAGUCAAGCCUAAUGUCAUCAUUUUUAAGCAGCAAUGCGUGGCAGCCCCUUUGGUCAUGCUGAAGCUUCAGCCUGAUGGAGGACUCUUACCCAUGGUCAUCCAGCUCCAGCCACCUUGACACGGAUGUCCCCCACCUCUGCUCUUUCUGCCCUCGCAUCCCCCCAUGGCCUGGCUCCUGGCCAAGACCUGGGUCCGGAGCUCUGAUUUCCAGCUGCAGCAGUUACAGUCACAUCUGCUGAGGGGACACUUGAUUGCUGAGGUUAUUGCUGUGGCUACAAUGAGAAGCUUGCCUAGCCUCCAUCCUAUCUACAAGCUCCUGAUCCCCCACUUCCGCUACACCAUGGCGAUCAACACGCUGGCCCAGAGUAGUCUUGUCUCCGAAUGGGGAAUUUUUGACCUGGUGGUGAGCACUGGUAGUGGAAGCCACGUGGACAUUCUUCAGAGAGCCAUGGCUUGUUUGACCUAUCAUUCCCUCUGUCCUCCUGAUGACCUGGCUGACCGUGGGCUCCUGGAUGUGAAAUCUUCUUUUUAUGGCUAAGAUGCCAUCAGGCUGUGGGGAAUCAUCAGCCGGGAAUAGGUACGUGGAGGGGAUGGUUGGGCUUUUCUACAAUAGUGACCAAGCCAUGAAGGAUGAUCUAGAGCUGCAGGCCUGGUGCAGAGAGAUGACUGAGACUGGACUGCAGAGGGCCCAAGACCAGGGGUUCCUCAUCUCCUUAGAGUCCCGGGCUCAGCUCUGCCACUUUGUCACCAUGUGCAUCUUCACAUGCACAGGUCAGCAUGCUUCUAACCACCUGGGCCAGCUGGACUGGUACUCCUGGAUCCCUAAUGGCCCAUGCACCAUGCAGAAGCCCCCGCCCAUCUCUAAGGAUGUGACAGAGAAGGAUAUAGUGGACUUACUGCCCAAUCUCCACCAGGCACGUAUGCAAAAGACCUUCACAAAGUUCCUUGGCAGACGCCAGCCUGUCAUGCAUGAGGAGAAAUAUUUCUCUGGUCCUGAGCCCCAAGCUGUGCUGAGACAAUUCCAGGAGGAACUGGCUUCCAUGGACAAGGAGAUUGAGGUCCGGAAUGCAGUCCUGGACCUGCCCUGUGAGUACCUUUGACCCAGCAUGGUAGAGAACAGCGUGACCAUCUGAGAGGCCUUGCCCGCCUCAGCUCCAAAGCUCCACCAUCCCUGAGUGCCUUUGAGUAUUCCGUCCUCCUCACAUCCUCUGGUGAACAAAUUGUCCCCAAAGCUUUGUGGUCAGGGUAUCCAGAGCUGCUCACCACACAACUAUGGGGAAUACACAGUGAUGGUCCCCAUUGCAUUUGGAAGUGGCAUCCCCCAAAGCUGCCCUACCUUAAAUGUCCAUCCAGUCCUGCACUUCCUCACCCCGAUCCCUGCACACCUCCUCAUUGCCAAAGGACCUGGCUUAGAUACAAGUAAAAAUAUAUGAUUAAAUAACAAAA